rnacentral:lncRNA from 1 species
UUAUAUUGUUGGUUUUCUCCUUCUCCCACAAUGGCCUAUUUAAGAAGGAGCCCUAAACAACUGAAGAAAGUGGGGAGGAAUUAGUGUGGGCUUUUAUGUAGGAGAAUGAUGAGCAGGGGCUGGAGAGGGAGAGGUUCAAGUGGCAUUGAUGGGUGUGGUAUGUUGUGUGUUGUUGGGUGUUGGGUGUUGGUCCUCCUUCUCCUUCUCUCUCUCUCUCUCUCCCUUUCCCUUAACCCUCUCUAUUACCUCUCUACCUCUCUCUCUCUCUCUCCCUGCUCCUGCUCUCCUGCUCUCCUCUGAUCUGGUAUUGCAUGCAUGUCCACAUUUCUUCUCAUGUCCCCAUUCUGCCCCCUCCUCCACUCUCCAUUCUCUUUUUUCUUUUUCCUUUUCAAUCUUUUUCUUUCUGUUUCCC